AACGCACGAGACCUGCGGACCUGCGGAGGGAUCAUUACCGAGUUUACAACUCCCAAACCCAAUGUGAACGUUACCAAACUGUUGCCUCGGCGGGAUCUCUGCCCCGGGUGCGUCGCAGCCCCGGACCAAGGCGCCCGCCGGAGGACCAACCAAAACUCUUAUUGUAUACCCCCUCGCGGGUUUUUUUAUAAUCUGAGCCUUCUCGGCGCCUCUCGUAGGCGUUUCGAAAAUGAAUCAAAA
rnacentral:misc_RNA from 1 species